CAGAUCAGAAGUCUCCCUGGGACCUUCUCUAACUCUCCAGGCGAAUAAAGGAACCCUUUGGCUACAGGUUGUCCCAGCUGCCCCAGGUGAGAUGCUGCAGACCACAGAGGCGUUGUGCGAAUUCACAGGACAGCGGCUGAGCUGGUGGCAAGCCCAAGAGUCCUGUGACCAGAGGUUUGGCCACUUGGCACUGGGGCCCCUAGAUAGGGCUCUCGCUUCACAUCUGCCUAGCUCGGUCUGGGUAGGACAAAGAGAGGCCUCAUUACGAAGUCAGCCGCAGAGGCGUGAGCACACCACGGCUGCGUUGGUCUUCCACAAGAGGACUGCUGACAGGACCACACAGCUGCCCACGGUACUGCCCGCGCUGGCGGCGUUCACGGCUUGCGUGCAUGUUCAGUGGGAUGAGACAGCAACUGAGGUGACCACUCUUCUCCCUGGCCACGCCGGCUGUGGCCAACGCACUGCAGCUGCGCACCUUCGUGGAACCCGGAGGCGGCCACCAUGUGCCCUUCAAUGCCAUCUUCCGAGCUGACAGUCGCUGGCACCACGUGUGUGCCACGUGGGAGCAGCGCAGCGGGCACUAGGAGCUGUUCACCGAUGGGAGGCAACGUGCAAGGGCUCAGGGACUAAGCACAGGCCACCCCGUGCCGACCUACGGUGUGCUUGUUCUGGGUCAGGAUCAGGACUCCCUGGGUGGCGGGUUCUCAGCCGCAACACCUUCAGUGGCAACCUUACUGACUUCUACCUGUGGGACCUGGUGCUGAGUCUCGAGCAAGUGCGCCGCGCUCGUGCCUGCACACACACCCCCGGGGGGGGGGGGUUGCCCUUUCAGUGGGACCCAGAGGCCCUGGACGUCACGCCCUCACUGUUGCCCACUGUGCUUGUGUGCCUGCUCUGUCCUGUACCCUCAGAGGAGUGUCCCAUGUGGAGCCUAGGACCUGGCACCAAGGGCUUUGAACUCUGCAUGUACCUACAACUGUUCCUCUGCUGCUACUCAAAAGAGACCUAUCAGCAGCUUCAGGGCUUCCAGUCAUGCCAGAUCAGGAUGUUACCAGCAGAGUCAAUGCUUUGGCCAGUGCCACUGUGCUCCUCCCAAGCCCCCUGUCUGAAACCCCGGGGAUUCUGUCCUUAGACAAGGCUUCCAGCUUCCUGGGUCUUCUGGAGAGAGUCCUGGCAGAGAAGCCAGGUCCACUGGGGCCUGUGACCCUGUUGGCUAUCCUGCACUUCCUGAAGAGGGUGGUUGCCCUCAGAGCUGAGGAGCCAGAGCUGCCGACCCAGCCCUGGGAGGAGCUUGGCAGACGCUUUGUAUCUGUGGCCAGCCUGACCUGGAGGAGCAAUCAGCCAGCGCGUGGCUGUCUAUCAGUGAGGUGGUUGGUGGGCCCAUGGCUCUGGUGAUGUGUGUGCAGUGCCUGGCAUCCCUGCUGAGUUCCACACUGACCUCUGUGCAGCCUCGAAUCCACUUCAAGCAUCAUCUUGGUGGCCUCGCUGAAGUCAUGGUCAUCCACACCUGGCUCACCUCAAGAGUCUUCCAGCAUACCCUGGGGGCAAGGCCACUAAUGGCUCAAAGGAGGCAAGGAUGCAGAGGUCCCUAAGCACCCAAGUGGGAUCAGCUAUACUCUCUCUAAGGUACGAGAUGCCGCCGGGAGCUCUACACAGCAGUGACCUUUCACCUGCAGCACCAGACCCAGAGCCCCUUUGCUCUGUCCUAACCCUAAGCUCAGAUGCAGGGGGCUCCUGGGCCAUCACUGGCUGCUCAGUGCUCACUCUACACCCAGACUCUACCACCUGCCUCUGCAAGCACAGCACCAGCUUUGCCAUCCUGCUGCAGGUGCAUGACGUCCUGGGAGGUCCUGAAGAGGAGUCGCUGCUGAGGACUCUGUUAUUUGUGGGCUGUGGUGUGUCCCUCUGUGCUCUUGCUACCACCUCCUUGCUCUUCGUGGUGGCUGGGGUUCCCGUGUCUGAACGGACCACAAUCCACAAGAUUUUCCCUGGCCUCUGCUGAGGCCUUCCUCAUGACCAGCGAGUGGGCAAAGAGCAACAAGGUGACCUGUGUGGUUGUCACAGCGGCCAUGCAUCUUCUCUUUCUGGUUGCCUUCUCCUGGAUGCUGGCAGAGGGACUGCUGCUUUGGAGCAAGGUGGUAGCCGUGAGCAUGCACCCAGGCCCCAGGAUGAGGCUGUACUAUACUGCAGGCUGGGGCAUUCCUGUGGCCAUUGUGGCCAUCACUCUAGCAUUGCACCCUCAUGACUAUGUGGCUUCUGGACACUGCUAGCUCAAUGUUCACACGGAUGCCAUCCUUUGUGGGGCCCGUUCUGUUUGUGUUGACUGCAAAUACUUACAUCCUGGUCCAUGUUGUAAUGAUCACUCUAUCCAGCACCCACCGCCGUGCACGCAUGCUGAGCCCACAGCCUGACCUACAGCAGAAGAUCAAGUUCCAAAUGUGGGCCAUGGUGAAACCUGUGCUGGCCCUGUUACCUGUCCUGGGCCUGACCUGGCUGUUUGGCCUUCCUGGUACACAUUAGCCCAAUCUGGGCCUACGCUGCUGUGUUUCUCAAUUCCUUCCAGGGCCCAUACAUCUUCCUUGUCUACGCUGCUUACAAUGGAGAGGUGCAGAACACACUACGGAGGAUGACAGAGAAGAAGGCAGCCGAGGUGCUCAGGGCA
rnacentral:lncRNA from 1 species